AGGCAGGCGUGGUGGGGCCCGCGAGCGUCAACACAGUCCUCCUCUUCCGAGUCCUCUCCCGGGUCAGUUAUUGUUUGGGAGUCGUAGUGAGCGGUCGUGUGUCGCUCCUGCUCCCUCCCUUCCUUCACUGGGCACCCCAAGUUCCCUCACGCCACUACCCCGCGCCUUUACCUCUAAUGGCGUACGGCCAACAUAACAUACCUGAAAACAUAACCACAUGAUCUGAAGUGAAAUAACAAGUGACAAAAAAUAGCCAACGGUGGAAAAAUAAUUAAUUAAAGUCUCAUCUAAUAUCAAUAAGGAUUAACACGACACCUGGAUACCCGUGGAGUAAUCUAGGAGAGGAUACCAAGGUCUUCCUCCAGUACCAAGACAAAACUGUGCAGGAGAUUAUGGGGGCUGAUAAAGCAGAGACCUUCGCCCUCAGGGUGUGUCUGGUGGCGGCGGUGGUGAGCAGCGCCCUGGCCAACCUGGAGAUGGCCAAGAUCCGUCGUGAAGGCGGCAGUACCGUCACCUCCUCCACCCUGGCCUGGGUGCCAGACGCACCUGGAGGUGGUCUGCCCCCACACGCCGUCCUCAUCACGGAGGACGACCCGUCAACUGUGUGGUGUCGCGCCGAGAAGCACAGCACCUGGAUGGCCGGGGCCAUGCACGCCGGCACCUGCACUGUCCCCUUCCUGGGUAACGUCCUGCGUAUUGAGUCGAACUACGAGAUCUUGAUCUCCGUCAACGGGUCAGCCCGCGUGAUGUACGAAAACUGGGACCGAUACCUGGCGCCGCCACACAACGCUGUGUCUGCUGAGACGCGCCGGUUCCUGGCCGUGCGUGAAGGUGAAGAUGGCUUUCCUCAGGCUGGUUACUUGGCCCCUCGAGAGCGACGUGCUCACCUGGUGGCUGGCAGCACCGUGGAGCGUGUGGACGAUGCUAAGGUCCUGGUCGAGGACGAGCCCGAACGAUACGACCUUCGAGCUAUAACUCUAGACACCGGCCGUACCUCCAUAGCACGGGAAGACUUAAUCCUGGCGGAGGCCAUGUUGCUCAACCCCGGGCCAUCACGCCAGCACGUUGUAGAGGCGAGGGAAGUGGUGGUGAAGCAGCUGUCCUACUGGGGCCGCAUCAAGGGCACCUACACCGGCCUCGACGCCCACGUGGUGACUCCCCCACCAGAGGCAGAGGAGCGAGACCUGGUGUGGGGUAUACAGAACGAGCUGGACCGUGUGUACCAAGACCUUCUCGAGUAUGACCUGCCUCCUGGCACGGGUGUCAGGGUCAAAAUGAUUGGCACUGUACGCAAGACUGAGGCGCCCUAUUUCGGCACCCUGACCGCUGUGUACAAGGACCUUAGCCAGAUCUCCCGGGUGGUGGAGGGCCUGCACAUGGACCAGCGGCUGGUGCUCCUCCGCGCUCAGUACUCGCCUCCUUACUUCAUCCACAACAACACACAACUUAACAUACCUGAACAGACUUCAGUACUGUACAAGUCGACCACCACCACAACCACUACCACCACAACUACCACCACUACCAGCACGACCCCUGACCCACCUAAGUUAUCAAUGGUGGGACCUGAGAAGCCUAUGAGUGAUUCCUUGAGCACGACGUCUCAGAGGGAGGUGGUGGUGGGCCUCAACAGUGGAACUGGCACCGUAUACCCCGCCGUGGCCAUGCUGGGGGUGGCAGCCCUCACCCUGGUCACUCUCUCAGCUGUCUUUGGACCGUCAACAACUACACUUAUCUGCUAAUUUCUUUACUUCUAAGAUUAUUGUUCAUUUACCUAAAACUUGGCCUAAUUGAAGGUCAACGACAACUGGGAGAGACCACUGCAACUUUUACACUUCUUCUCAGAAUAAACUUUUGUAAAACUAUUGUACAGAAGGUAAGCGACAACUACUACCGUAUAUUCUGACAAGAAUAAACCUCAAUGUUGUCAUUAAUAAAGUGUUAGUAAAGUAGAAACUAGAUGUGUCUUGUAUCAAAUGUUUACCCCAGAGAGAGAGCUGUUACUGGCUCAUGUGGUCACGUCCACCACAACGGCACAAACAUUUCCUCAGUUGUAUCUGGAGAAUCCUUCCUAAACUGAGUCCUGGGCCACGUCCCCAGGAUGCUACUGAGGCCUAUACCCUGGGCAUUGGCGUUCUUCGUCAACAGGUGCAGUAGUGCUGGCAAGUUGCGGUGUUCUCACCACCAUACACAACUACGGCCGGGUAGCAGACUGCAGGCUUCGCCUGUGGCCUGUGUUCACCAUGAGGCUCUGCCUCUAUUCCCAUGGAUGACCUCUUGCUCCCAGCCUCUCCCACACGCCCUCCCACCCUGCCUCCUCGGUCACCACAAGCACCUGAGUGGCGCCAGCAACUUUCUGCUGCUUCGCUAUAUUCCCGACACCUCUAAUUCCGCUGCUGCUGACGUAAAUUCAUUAUUAUUAUUAUAACUAGCCUUUGUGACGAGGAUAUACAUUUAUAACUGUAAGUAACUGUGUGACUGACUAACUGGGAUGAGUAAUAUAAUCUUAACGUAGGUAGAGUGGUCUGACUGAGUGUGUGAAGAUGAUGUACUGUACAGGAGAGAGAGAAUGAAGAGUGUGAAUGUUUGUAAAUAGUGAGUGUACUGUACAGCUCGAACUUGUAUAUUUACCAGGUACUGUAGUGGCUUCCUUCUGUGUUUGUACUCGUGACUAUAAAACCUUGUUAUCAAUUAUUUGUUGCCGGUGAAGCCUAUUUAUUUCCACACCUGUUGAUCCCCUAAAAUAAUUACCUGAUGCUCACUCCACCUGUCAACACCUGUCAUGUCAAAUUAAUGUCACUAGUCAUGUCUGUCAUAAAGGUGACAUGACUAGUACAGCAUAACUAUAAACCAGGUAGCAGCAUCAGGUAAGGUCCUUAAUUAUACUUACCUGUACAGUGUGAAGCCUUGACACAUGCACAAGACUAUGGAGUUUUGACGUCUCCUGUGUGUUACAGAGGAGCUCUAAUGUGUUACAGAGGAGCUCUAAUGUGUUACAGAGGAGCUCUAAUGUGUUACAGAGGCGCUCCAAUGAGUUACAGAGGAGCUCUAAUGUGUUACAGAGGAGCUCUAAUGUGUUACAGAGGCGCUCCAAUGAGUUACAGAGGAGCUCUAAUGUGUUACAGAGGAGCUCUAAUGUGUUACAGAGGCGCUCCAAUGAGUUACAGAGGAGCUCUAAUGUGUUACAGAGGAGCUCUAAUGUGUUGCAGAGGAGCUCUCAUGUGUUGCAGAGGAGCUCCAAUGUGUUACGGAUGAACCCUAUCAUAUUAUAGAGGAGCUUUAUUAUGUUCUAUAAUAUCAGAUGCCUAAAUGUUGUAAGUCUUAGUGUUGUGUGUAGCUAAGAGAGAGAGAGAGAGAGAGAGAGAGAGAGAGAGAGAGAGAGAGAGAGAGAGAGAGAGAGAGAGAGAGAGAGAGAGAGAGAGAGAGAGAGAG
rnacentral:misc_RNA from 1 species